rnacentral:rRNA from 1 species
CCUACGGGAGGCAGCAGUGGGGAAUAUUGGACAAUGGGCGAAAGCCUGAUCCAGCAAUGCCGCGUGUGUGAAGAAGGCCUGCGGGUUGUAAAGCACUUUCAGUUGGGAAGAUAAUGACGUUACCAACAGAAGAAGCACCGGCUAAAUCCGUGCCAGCAGCCGCGGUAAUACGGAUGGUGCGAGCGUUAAUCGGAAUUACUGGGCGUAAAGCGCGCGUAGGCGGCUAAGUCAGUCAGAAGUGAAAGCCCCGGGCUCAACCUGGGAAUUGCUUUUGAUACUGCUUAGCUAGAGUUUGGUAGAGGAUAGUGGAAUUCCAGGUGUAGCGGUGAAAUGCGUAGAUAUCUGGAGGAACAUCAGUGGCGAAGGCGACUGUCUGGACCAAAACUGACGCUGAGGUGCGAAAGCGUGGGUAGCAAACAGGAUUAGAUACCCUGGUAG